GAUGAAGAACGUAGCGAAAUGCGAUAAGUAAUGUGAAUUGCAGAAUUCAGUGAAUCAUCGAAUCUUUGAACGCACAUUGCGCCCCCUGGUAUUCCGGGGGGCAUGCCUGUCCGAGCGUCAUUACAAACCUCAAGCUCAGCUUGGUGUUGGGCCCCGCCGCCCCGGCGGGCCCUAAAGUCAGUGGCGGUGCCGUCCGGCUCCGAGCGUAGUAAUUCUUCUCGCUCUGGAGGUCCGGUCGUGUGCUCGCCAGCAACCCCCAAUUUUUUUCAGGUUGACCUCGGAUCAGGUAGGGAUACCCGCUGAACUUAAGCAUAUCAAUAAGCGGAGGA
rnacentral:misc_RNA from 1 species